CAUAUUUACAACAAGGCAUGCAAUAAAGCAUUCUUUUGAGCAUUAGACAAGUAUGAAGAGUAAAGUAAAUUUUGGAAUCAUUAAACUAAAUACUACUGUUGACAGAAAUGACCUAAUCUUUUAGCAUGAUGGCUACUGUCAGUAGGAGGUUGAGCAUGUAUGAGUAGUUGAGAACGGUGAAUAGGAGGAUGACUAGACAGAAAAUAGUAGGGAUGACAAGUUUUUUUUUUUUUUUUUUGUCCUUUUU
rnacentral:lncRNA from 1 species